rnacentral:misc_RNA from 1 species
CAGCUCCUGCCGCUCAAUGAUUAGCUCUCUGUUCCCCUUCUCCCUCCUCUCUCUCUAACCCCAAACCAAAACCCUGGUUUUCUCUCUUCCUUCUCUGUAUCUAGUUGCUUCUCGCUGCUCCAACGUCUUGUUUUGCGGUUAGUUUGUGUUCUACUCUAGUGGGUAUGUCGAAUUCUGAUAGUGGAGCAAACAACGGUGGCGGUGUCACCAACGGCGCUUUAAUUGACCAGCAGAGGCAGCAGCCGCCGGGGACUAAUGGUGCCUUGGCCGUGAAAAAGCCGCCAUCUAAGGACCGACACAGUAAGGUCGACGGACGUGGGCGGAGAAUCCGCAUGCCGAUCAUUUGCGCCGCACGUGUCUUUCAGUUGACUCGUGAGCUCGGUCAUAAAUCUGAUGGCCAGACCAUCGAAUGGCUCCUUCGUCAAGCAGAGCCUUCAAUUAUUGCGGCUACUGGGACAGGAACUACUCCGGCCAGCUUCUCCACCGUUUCUGUGGUACGCACGGGAGGUAACUCCAAUUCGCUAUCGUCGAUUUCGUCGUCUACGAAUUCAUCUGCAAUGGACCACAAACCACUGUUGGGACCCACACCAUUUAUUCUAGGGAAGCGGGUGAGGCUGGAGGAUGACAAUAAUGGAGGUAAGGACGACGGUGGGGUUUCAGUUGGCUCCACGGUCGGGUCUUUGGUGGGGUCCGCAGCCGCUGGCGUUGCACCUGGGGG